rnacentral:rRNA from 1 species
UCCGAUGACAAUAGCAAGUGUGACCCACCUGAUCCAUUUCGAACUCAGAAGUGAAACCACUUAGCGCCGAUGGUAGUGUAGUUUUUUCUAUGCGAGAGUAGGACAUCGUCGGAC